rnacentral:rRNA from 1 species
GUCUCAAAGAUUAAGCCAUGCAUGUCUAAGUAUAAGCAAUCUAUACUGUGAAACUGCGAAUGGCUCAUUAAAUCAGUUAUCGUUUAUUUGAUAGUACCUUACUACAUGGAUACCUGUGGUAAUUCUAGAGCUAAUACAUGCUAAAAACCCCGACUUCGGGAGGGGUGUAUUUAUUAGAUAAAAAACCAAUGCCCCUCGGGGCUCCUUGGUGAAUCAUAAUAACUUAACGAAUCGCAUGGCCUUGCGCCGGCGAUGGUUCAUUCAAAUUUCUGCCCUAUCAACUUUCGAUGGUAGGAUAGUGGCCUACCAUGGUGGCAACGGGUAACGGGGAAUUAGGGUUCGAUUCCGGAGAGGGAGCCUGAGAAACGGCUACCACAUCCAAGGAAGGCAGCAGGCGCGCAAAUUACCCAAUCCCAACACGGGGAGGUAGUGACAAUAUGUAACAAUAUACGGCCUUAUACGUCGUAUAAUUGGAAUGAUUACAAUUUAAAUCCCUUAACGAGGAACAAUUGGAGGGCAAGUCUGGUG